AUCUAGUUGACGAGUCCCAAAUAGGACGAAACGCGCGUCCUGGAU
rnacentral:hammerhead_ribozyme from 1 species